rnacentral:rRNA from 1 species
GACCAGGGCUACACACGUGCUACAAUGGGCGGUACAAAGGGCUGCGAACCCGCAGGGGGAGCGAAUCCCAAAAAGCCGCUCUCAGUUCGGAUUGCAGGCUGCAACUCGCCUGCAUGAAGCCGGAAUCGCUAGUAAUCGCGGAUCAGCAUGCCGCGGUGAAUACGUUCCCGGGCCUU